CAACCUGCCCAAGAGAUCGGGAUAACACCUGGAAACAGAUGCUAAUACCGGAUAACAACAGAUGAUGCCUAUCAACUGUUUAAAAGAUGGUUCUGCUAUCACUCUUGGAUGGACCUGCGGUGCAUUAGCUAGUUGGUAGGGUAACGGCCUACCAAGGCGAUGAUGCAUAGCCGAGUUGAGAGACUGAUCGGCCACAUUGGGACUGAGACACGGCCCAAACUCCUACGGGAGGCAGCAGCG
rnacentral:rRNA from 1 species